GAAUGCUGAUGAGCCCCACAAUAGGACGAAACGGCCGUCCAGUGC
rnacentral:hammerhead_ribozyme from 1 species